CAGGCUUAACACAUGCAAGUCGAGGGGCAGCAUGGUCUUAGCUUGCUAAGGCCGAUGGCGACCGGCGCACGGGUGAGUAACGCGUAUCCAACCUGCCUUACACUCUUGGACAGCCUUCUGAAAGGGAGAUUAAUACAAGAUGUUAUCAUGAGUAAGCAUUUUCGCAUGAUUAAAGGUUUACCGGUGUAAGAUGGGGAUGCGUUCCAUUAGAUAGUAGGCGGGGUAACGGCCCACCUAGUCUUCGAUGGAUAGGGGUUCUGAGAGGAAGGUCCCCCACAUUGGAACUGAGACACGGUCCAAACUCCUACGGGAGGCAGCAGUGAGGAAUAUUGGUCAAUGGACGAGAGUCUGAACCAGCCAAGUAGCGUGAAGGAUGAAGGUUCUAUGGAUUGUAAACUUCUUUUAUACGGGAAUAAACGAAUCCACGUGUGGAUUUUUGCAUGUACCGUAUGAAUAAGGAUCGGCUAACUCCGUGCCAGCAGCCGCGGUAAUACGGAGGAUCCGAGCGUUAUCCGGAUUUAUUGGGUUUAAAGGGAGCGUAGAUGGGUUGUUAAGUCAGUUGUGAAAGUUUGCGGCUCAACCGUAAAAUUGCAAUUGAUACUGGCAGUCUUGAGUACAGUUGAGGUAGGCGGAAUUCGUGGUGUAGCGGUGAAAUGCUUAGAUAUCACGAAGAACUCCGAUUGCGAAGGCAGCUUACUAACCUGUAACUGACAUUGAUGCUCGAAAGUGUGGGUAUCAAACAGGAUUAGAUACCCUGGUAGUCCACACGGUAAACGAUGAAUACUCGCUGUAGGCGAUAUACAGUCUGCGGCCAAGCGAAAGCAUUAAGUAUUCCACCUGGGGAGUACGCCGGCAACGGUGAAACUCAAAGGAAUUGACGGGGGCCCGCACAAGCGGAGGAACAUGUGGUUUAAUUCGAUGAUACGCGAGGAACCUUACCCGGGCUUAAAUUGCAACCGAAUAUGGCGGAAACGCUAUAGCUAGCAAUAGCGGUUGUGAAGGUGCUGCAUGGUUGUCGUCAGCUCGUGCCGUGAGGUGUCGGCUUAAGUGCCAUAACGAGCGCAACCCUUGCCGAUAGUUACUAACAGGUCAUGCUGAGGACUCUGUCGGGACUGCCAUCGUAAGAUGUGAGGAAGGUGGGGAUGACGUCAAAUCAGCACGGCCCUUACGUCCGGGGCUACACACGUGUUACAAUGGGGGGUACAGAGGGCUGCUACCACGCAAGUGGAUGCCAAUCCCAAAAACCUCUCUCAGUUCGGAUUGAAGUCUGCAACCCGACUUCAUGAAGCUGGAUUCGCUAGUAAUCGCGCAUCAGCCACGGCGCGGUGAAUACGUUCCCGGGCCUUGUACGCACCGCCCGUCAAGCCAUGGGAGCCGGGGGUACCUGAAGUGCGUAACCGCAAGGAGCGCCCUAGGGUAAAACUGGUGACUGGGGC
rnacentral:rRNA from 1 species